GGCAAAUGCACUCUGUGUCACGUUGAAUUAAACCACAUGUGAUGACAAUUUGUUAGUUUGCUAUAUGAAUGAGAUGCGUCUUAUCCAUGUGAUUGUUGCUGAUCAGGCUAUUUACAUUGAAAACGCAUUGUACAACCUCA